GAUGAACGCUGGCGGCGUGCCUAAUACAUGCAAGUCGAGCGAACAGACGAGGAGCUUGCUCCUCUGACGUUAGCGGCGGACGGGUGAGUAACACGUGGAUAACCUACCUAUAAGACUGGGAUAACUUCGGGAAACCGGAGCUAAUACCGGAGAAUAUAUUGAACCGCAUGGUUCAAUAGUGAAAGACGGUUUUGCUGUCACUUAUAGAUGGAUCCGCGCCGCAUUAGCUAGUUGGUAAGGUAACGGCUUACCAAGGCGACGAUGCGUAGCCGACCUGAGAGGGUGAUCGGCCACACUGGAACUGAGACACGGUCCAGACUCCUACGGGAGGCAGCAGUAGGGAAUCUUCCGCAAUGGGCGAAAGCCUGACGGAGCAACGCCGCGUGAGUGAUGAAGGUCUUCGGAUCGUAAAACUCUGUUAUUAGGGAAGAACAAAUGUGUAAGUAACUAUGCACGUCUUGACGGUACCUAAUCAGAAAGCCACGGCUAACUACGUG
rnacentral:rRNA from 1 species